GCUUGGCCCUAACCACAGAUAGUUGCCAAACAAAACUAUCCGCCAGAGAACUACAAGCGAAAAGCUAGAAACUCAAAGGACUUGGCGGUGCUCCAUACCGACCUAGAGGAGCCUGUCCUAUAAUCGAUACCCCCCGCUUCACCCAACCAUCUUUUGCCCUCAGCCUAUAUACCGCCGUCGAAAGCCUACCUUAUGAAAGAACACCAGUAAGCAAAAUGGUCCGUCACCAACACGUCAGGUCAAGGUGUAGCUAACAAGAUGGAAGAGAUGGGCUACAUUUUCUAUAACAGAAAACACGAAUAGCACAUUGAAACCUGUGCUUGAAGGCGGAUUUAGCAGUAAGACAAACAAGAGAUUGUAUCUUAAACCCGCUCUGGAGCGCGCACACACCGCCCGUCA
rnacentral:rRNA from 1 species